rnacentral:tRNA from 1 species
GCACCACUAGCUCAGUUGGUAGAGCAGCUGACUCUUAAUCAGCGGGUCCGGGGUUCGAGUCCCCGGUGGUGUACCA